CGCCUUCUGCAGAAAAUAGAAGGUCUAGCCUGCCCAGUGACCAAGUUAAACGGCCGCGGUACCCUAACCGUGCGAAGGUAGCGCAAUCACUUGUUCUUUAAAUGAGGACUAGUAUGAACGGCAUCACGAGGGUUACACUGUCUCCCACCUCUAAUCAGUGAAACUGAUUCCCCCGUGAAGAAGCGGGGAUAAACUUAUAAGACGAGAAGACCCCAUGGAGCUUUAAACUCAGUACCAAUCACCUAUUACUACACCACAAUAACCCGGUGGUUCUGACUACUGGUUUUAGGUUGGGGUGACCACGGAGCAUAAUAAAACCUCCAUGUUGAAAAACUUCCUUAAUCCAAGAGUGACAACUCUAAGAAUCAAAAAUUGACAUACAUUGACCCAAAUAUUUUGAUCAACGAACCAAGUUACCCUGGGGAUAACAGCGCAAUCCAUUUCAAGAGCUCCUAUCGACAAAUGGGUUUACGACCUCGAUGUUGGAUCAGGGUAUCCCAGUGGUGCAGCCGCUACUAAAGGUUCGUUUG
rnacentral:rRNA from 1 species